rnacentral:tRNA from 1 species
GGGAUUGUAGUUCAAUUCGUCAGAGCACCGCCCUGUCAAGGCGGAAGCUGCGGGUUCGAGCCCCGUCAGUCCCG